GACGAACGCUGGCGGCGUGCCUAAUACAUGCAAGUAGAACGCACAGUUUAUACCGUAGCUUGCUACACCAUAGACUGUGAGUUGCGAACGGGUGAGUAACGCGUAGGUAACCUGCCUGGUAGCGGGGGAUAACUAUUGGAAACGAUAGCUAAUACCGCAUAAUAUUAAUUAUUGCAUGAUAAUUAAUUGAAAGGUGCAAUUGCACCACUACCAGAUGGACCUGCGUUGUAUUAGCUAGUAGGUGAGGUAACGGCUCACCUAGGCGACGAUACAUAGCCGACCUGCGAGGGUGGUCGGCCACACUGGGACUGAGACACGGCCCAGACUCCUACGGGAGGCAGCAGUAGGGAAUCUUCGGCAAUGGGCGAAAGUCUGACCGAGCAACGCCGCGUGAGUGAAGAAGGUUUUCGGAUCGUAAAGCUCUGUUGUAAGGGAAGAACGGGUGUGAGAGUGGAAAGUUCACACUGUGACGGUAUCUUACCAGAAAGGGACGGCUAACUACGUG
rnacentral:rRNA from 1 species